rnacentral:rRNA from 1 species
GACGUAGGGCGCGAGCGUUGUCCGGAUUUAUUGGGCGUAAAGAGCUCGUAGGCGGCUUGUCGCGUCGACUGUGAAAUCCCGCGGCUCAACCGCGGGUCUGCAGUCGAUACGGGCAGGCUAGAGUUCGGUAGGGGAGACUGGAAUUCCUGGUGUAGCGGUGAAAUGCGCAGAUAUCAGGAGGAACACCGAUGGCGAAGGCAGGUCUCUGGGCCGAUACUGACGCUGAGGAGCGAAAGCAUGGGGAGCAAACAGG